CUUACAAGCACACAAAGCACGUCAACGUGUGAUGUGGUACCUUUUGUAGAAUGGUCCGGCGAGUGAAUGUAACUGGCGAGGUUAAGUUCUUAAGGAACGGAGCCGAAGCGAAAGCAAGUCUGAAUAGGGCGUCUUAGUCAGUUGUAUUCGACCCGAAACCGGGUGACCUAUCCAUGGUCAGGCUGAAGUGGAGGUAAAACUCCAUGGAGGGCCGAACCGACCUCCGUUGAAAAGGCGGCGGAUGAACUGUGGGUAGCGGAGAAAUUCCAAUCGAACCCGGAGAUAGCUGGUUCUCCCCGAAAUAGUUUUAGGACUAGCCUCAAGUUAGAUACCUGGAGGUAAAGCACUGAAUAGCCUAGCGGCCGAGAGGUUAGCGAAGCUUAUCAAACUCAGAAUGCCAGAGUAUUGAUGCUUGGGAGUCAGACAGUGUCAGAUAAAUGUCAUUGUCAAAAGGGAAACAGCCCAGAUCUACAGCUAAGGUCCCAAAGUCAGGUUAAGUGGAAAACGAUGUGAAGAUACGUAGACAACCAGGAUGUUGGCUCAGAAGCAGCCACACAUUCAAAGAGUGCGUAAUAGCUCACUGGUCGAGCGUCUUUGCGCGGAGAAUUUAACGGGGCUAAACCUGACACCGAAGCUUAGGCAAUACAGUAAUGUAUUGGGUAGGGGAGCGUUGUAUACGCGGUGAAACAGUAGCGCAAGCGGCUGUGGAGUGUAUAGAAGUGAGAAUGCCGGAAUGAGUAGCGCGAAUGCAGUGAGAAUCUGCAUGGCCGAAAGCCUCAGGUUUCUGGAGGAAGGUUCGUCCGCUCCAGGUUAGUCGGGAGCUAAGGUGAGGCCUAACGGCGUAGCCGAUGCACAGACGGUAGAGAUUCCGUCACCACCAAAAGAGUUAAACACAGGGACACAUUUGAAGUCUCGGAGCCGGGUGUUGGUUCCGGUAGCGAUCGAGGGAAAUUAGUACCGAAGUCCGGGAUGGAAGAUGGCGAGAAAAGCUGUGUGUAUUUCUGCGGUGCCCGUACCGCAAACCGACACAGGUAGGUAGGAAGAAGAUUCUAAGGCCAACGGGAGAAGGGUUGUUAAGGAACUCGGCAAAUUGACCCCGUAACUUCGGGAGAAGGGGUGCUCCAGAGAUGGAGCCGCAGAGAAUCGGCCCAAGCAACUGUUUACCAAAAACACAGGUUUGUGCUAAAUCGAAAGAUGACGUAUACGAGCUGACGCCUGCCCGGUGCUGGAAGGUUAAGAGGAGAGCUUAGCGCAAGCGAAGGUUUGAAUUGAAGCCCCAGUAAACGGCGGCCGUAACUAUAACGGUCCUAAGGUAGCGAAAUUCCUUGUCGGGUAAGUUCCGACCUGCACGAAUGGUGUAAUGAUCUGGACGCUGUCUCAACCGUGAGCUCAGUGAAAUUGUAGUAUCGGUGAAGAUGCCGAUUACCCGCGAUGGGACGAAAAGACCCCGUGAACCUUUACUAUAGCUUAUCAUUGAAUCUGGGCACGUGAUGUGUAGGAUAGGUCGGAGGCUUUGAAGGGGGUACGCCAGUAUCCUUGGAGCCGCUGUUGAAAUACGACCCUUCAUUUGUUUGGAUUCUAACCCGUGUAUAUGGGGACACUGAUUGGUGGGUAGUUUGACUGGGGUGGUCGCCUCCAAAAGCGUAACGGAGGCUUCUAAAGGUGCCCUCACGGCGAUUGGUAACCGCCGUUAGAGUGUAAUGGCAUAAGGGCGCUUGACUGGGAGACAUACAAGUCGAUCAGGUAGGAAACUAGAGCAUAGUGAUCCGGUGUUUCCGUAUGGAAGGGACAUCGCUCAAAGGAUAAAAGGUACUCCGGGGAUAACAGGCUGAUCCCUCCCAAGAGCUCAUAUCGACGGAGUGGUUUGGCACCUCGAUGUCGGCUCGUCACAUCCUGGGGCUGGAGAAGGUCCCAAGGGUUGGGCUGUUCGCCCAUUAAAGUGGCACGCGAGCUGGGUUCAGAACGUCGUGAGACAGUUCGGUCUCUAUCUAUCGUGGGCGCAGGAAAUUUGCGUGGUUCUGACACUAGUACGAGAGGACCGUGUUGGACCGACCUCCGGUUUGCCGGUUGUGCCGCCAGGUGCACCGCCGGGUAUCCGCGUCGGGUAUGGAUAAGCGCUGAAAGCAUCUAAGCGCGAAGCCUUCCACAAGAUUAGAUUUCCUUUAUGAGGGUCGUCAGAGACGAUGACGUGGAUAGGGUGCAGGUGUAAAGACGGCGACGUCAAAGCCGAGCACUACUAAUAGCCCGAAAGCUUUUGUCU
rnacentral:rRNA from 1 species